AGAGUUUGAUCCUGGCUCAGGAUGAACGCUGGCGGCGUGUCUAAGGCAUGCAAGUCGAACGAGUACAGCCCGCAAGGGUCAUGCUAAUGGCAAACGGGUGAGUAACACAUUGGUAACCUGCCUCAAAGUGUGGAACAACCCUCCGAAAGGAGGGCUAUACCACCAUGUGGUUUUCUGACAUAUGUCAGAAAAAGAAAGGUCCGCAAGGAUCGCUUUGAGAGGGGCCUAUGGCUUAUCAGCUAGUUGGUGAGGUAAUGGCUCACCAAGGCUAUGACGAGUAGCGGGCGUGAGAGCGCGACCCCGCCUCAGUGGAACUGAGACACUGUCCACACUCCUACGGGAGGCUGCAGUCGAGAAUAUUCCCCAAUGGACGAAAGUCUGAGGGAGCGACGCCGCGUGCAGGAUGAAGGCCUUCGGGUUGUAAACUGCUUUUCUCUGGGAUGAACACUGACCGUACCAGAGGAAUAAGAGGUUGCUAACUCUGUGCCAGCAGCAGCGGUAAUACAGAGACCUCGAGCGUUAUCCGGAUUUACUGGGCGUAAAGGGUCCGCAGGUGGUUUUGUAAGUCUUCGGUUAAAUUCUUGAGCUCAACUCGAGAACCGCCGAGGAAACUAUAAGACUAGAGACUGGGAGAGGCAAGCGGAAUUGCCGGUGUAGUAGUAAAAUGCGUUAAUAUCGGCAAGAACACCAAAUGCGAAGGCAGCUUGCUAGAACAGUUCUGACACUCAGGGACGAAAGCGUGGGGAGCGAUACGGAUUAGAUACCCGUGUAGUCCACGCCCUAAACGAUGGGUACUGGGCAUUGGGAGUAUCGACCCUCUCAGUGCCGUAUAUCAAAGCUAACGCGUUAAGUACCCCGCCUGGGGAGUACGGCCGCAAGGCUAAAACUCAAAGGAAUUGACGG
rnacentral:rRNA from 1 species